GUGUGUUUGUGCUCGUAGAUCUAGGUUCUUCACUUGGUGGAGUCUGGGAGUUGUAAAAGUCCUUCAUAUUUUGCUCGAAGUGUACCUGCUCAUAGAGACAAGGCAGAGAUCAAGUGCAUGGGCCCUGUUGGUGGAAAACACCAGCAGAACCAAAAGUGUAUUUGUUCUUCUCUAACCUUAAACAUAGUGAGCAAGACAAAGUCGAUGGAUAAUAAGAUCAUGAGUGUAGCAUUUAAAACAUUUGUC
rnacentral:lncRNA from 1 species